rnacentral:rRNA from 1 species
UACGAAGGGGGCUAGCGUUGCUCGGAAUCACUGGGCGUAAAGGGCGCGUAGGCGGCGUUUUAAGUCGGGGGUGAAAGCCUGUGGCUCAACCACAGAAUGGCCUUCGAUACUGGGACGCUUGAGUAUGGUAGAGGUUGGUGGAACUGCGAGUGUAGAGGUGAAAUUCGUAGAUAUUAGGAAGAACACCGGUGGCGAAGGCGGCCCACUGGUCCGGUACUGACGCUGAGGUGCGAAAGCGUGGGGAGCAAACAGG